GCAAGUCUGGUGCCAGCAGCCGCGGUAAUUCCAGCUCCAAUAGCGUAUAUUAAAGUUGUUGUGGUUAAAAAGCUCGUAGUAGAAGCUCGGGCUCCGGCCGACCGGUCCGCCUCACCGCGUGCACUGGUUCGGCCGGGCCUUCACCUUCUGCGGAACCGCAUCUCCUUCACUGGGGGUGUCGGGGAAACAGGACGUUUACUGUGAAAAAAUUAGAGUGCUCCAGGCAGGCCUAUGCUCGAAUAGAUUAGCAUGGAAUAAUGGAAUAGGACGUGUGGUCUUAUUUCGUUGGUUUCUAGGACCGCCGUAAUGAUUAAUAGGGACAGUCGGGGGCAUCAGUAUUCAAUCGUCAGAGGUGAAAUUCUUGGAUCGAUUGAAGACUAACUACUGCGAAAGCAUUUGCCAA
rnacentral:rRNA from 1 species